CCUACGGGUGGCUGCAGUGGGGAAUAUUGGACAAUGGGCGAAAGCCUGAUCCAGCCAUGCCGCGUGUGUGAAGAAGGCCUUCGGGUUGUAAAGCACUUUCAGUGGGGAAGAAAGCCUUGGGGCUAAUACCCUCGAGGAAGGACAUCACCCACAGAAGAAGCACCGGCUAACUCCGUGCCAGCAGCCGCGGUAAUACGGAGGGUGCGAGCGUUAAUCGGAAUUACUGGGCGUAAAGCGCGCGUAGGCGGUCUGAUAAGCCGGUUGUGAAAGCCCCGGGCUCAACCUGGGAAUGGCAUCCGGAACUGUCAGGCUAGAGUGCAGGAGAGGAAGGUAGAAUUCCCGGUGUAGCGGUGAAAUGCGUAGAGAUCGGGAGGAAUACCAGUGGCGAAGGCGGCCUUCUGGACUGACACUGACGCUGAGGUGCGAAAGCGUGGGUAGCAAACAGGAUUAGAUACCCUUGUAGUC
rnacentral:rRNA from 1 species